rnacentral:rRNA from 1 species
GGUAGCAUAAUCACUUGUUCUUUAAAUGAGGACUCGUAUCAAUGGCACCACGAGGACUUUACUGUCUCCUUUUUCUAAUCAGUGAAACUAAUCUUCCCGUGAAGAAGCGGGAAUAAAUAGAUAAGACGAGAAGACCCCAUGGAGCUUUAAGCUUACUGCACCUCUAUUUUCUAUAACCUCUUAUUAAACGGAAUACUGCUUACUUAGCUUUAGGUUGGGGUGACCGCGGAGUAUAACAUAACCUCCAUGAUGAACAAAACUAUUUUCUUAUCUAAGAACAACAGUUCUAAGAAUUAGUAUUCUAACAUAAAAUGAUCCGAUAAUCGAUCAACGGACUAAGUUACCCUGGGGAUAACAGCGCAAUCCAUUUCAAGAGCCCCUAUCGACAAAUGGGUUUACGACCUCGAUGUUGGAUCAGGAUAUCCUAGUGGUGCAGCAGCUACUGAAGGUUCGUUUGUUCAACGAUUAAAAUCCU